GGGACUGUAGCUCAAUGGUAGAGCACUUGCCUCACACGUGUGAGUCACUGGGUUCCAACCUCAGCACCA
rnacentral:tRNA from 1 species